rnacentral:pre_miRNA from 1 species
UUUUUAGUAUGAGCAUGUCCCAUGCAAUAUUUGGGAAAUACUUAUUCUAAAA